UGUAAAGACUAUGCAGAAGCUAUAAAAGGAAUCAAGACCAGCAAGAAAGCAGAAGCUGUGGCUGUGUAAUGUUGAAGCAACAAGCUAAAAAAAUACUCUGUUAUAAUCUUUGGAUAAACUAAAAGGGUCCAGAUGUUGAUGUUUUUGCCAUUCAACAGAGGUACUCUACAGUUUCAAAAUAGUUCAUAUAUACUUGUGUACCAUUGUCUUGUAGAUUGGGGAUCUGCAGAUUCCAUACAUUGUGCAAUGAAACACUGUAACAGUUAAUAAAUUGGUGCAUUAUGUAUUUUUGUUUUUGGGAAAAUAAAGCAUGGUCACUUGUACACAUAACUCUGAUCACUUAGCUUGCUCUUCUGUAAGAACAUGAUCAUAAACAUCUCAUAUAUAUUAAUUGUGAAAUAUUACAACUUCUUUUUGUA